UUUCCGUAGGUGAACCUGCGGAAGGAUCGUUAUUGUAUAAACAACUUGCGAGGGCUGUGGCUGAGCCGACAGAUCGUUCACGCCUGAGUGCCCCCCCCCGUCCAUCUAACACCUAUGUACACAACCGCGCGGGUCCGCCAUCAACCUAUCUGGUGGGGUGCCUACGUUUUCACCCAAACUCUUAAUGCAGUGUGCAAUGUUUUUUUUGUUUUUACGACUUCCCACACAGUACAACUUUCUACAACGGAUCUCUUGGAUCUCGCAUCGAUGGAGAACGAC
rnacentral:misc_RNA from 1 species